ensembl:ncRNA Y51H7BR.10 ncRNA
GUGGCCUAGAAAAUUUAGAUUUCUAGGCCACCAAUUUCAGAUCGCCAUAACUUGGUGGAAAAU